rnacentral:tRNA from 1 species
GGGUCUGUAGCUCAGGUGGUUAGAGCGCGUGCCUGAUAAGCACGAGGUCGGCUGUUCAACUCAGCCCAGACCCACCA